GGAGUUACAGAGACAAAGUUUGGAGCUGAGAUGAAAGGAUGGACCAUGUAGAGACUGCCUUAUCCAGGGAUCCACCCCAUAAUCAGCAUCCAAACGCUGACACCAUUGCAUACACUAGCAAGAUUUUAUCGAAAGGACCCAGAUGUAGCUGUCUCUUGUGAGACUAUGCCGGGGCCUAGCAAACACAGAAGUGGAUGCCCACAGUCAGCUAAUUGAUAGAUUACAGGGCUCCCAAUGGAGGAGCUAGAGAAAGUACCCAAGGAGCUAAAGGGAUCGACAAGGGGUACUGUUACAAUGACUCUGUCUGUGUCAGCUGAGGUUGGCUGACUGUGACACUGUAAAUAAGGUUUGGAGUCAGCAUCUUUAGAAAGUUUCCCCCCUGAAGAGCUGGGGAGGGAGCCUAACUGGCAGAGAGCUUGCUUAGCAAGCUCCACCUCCCGGGUUCAAUUCUCACCCUUGCAUUAAAGGAUGUGAUGAUAUGUACCUGUAAUCUCAGCACUUUGGAGGUGCAGACAAGUGGAUCAGAAGUUCAAAGCCCUGCUUGGACAUAUAAAGGGUUUAGGGGCAGCCUAGAAUACAAGAUACCCUAUCUUAAAAAAAAAUCCUAUAAAGAACGUUCUUUAUCUUCCUUAUACCCCAAAGAAGAAAGAUGCUGAAGGCAAAGACACUGGAAGAGCCAAAGGAAUGUUCUUGGGGGCUUGGAGUCCUCUGAGGCUUAGUCCAUGUGUUCAUCAAGCGCAAUGCAUCAUGAUUAAAGUUUCAGGAGACGCUCACUUUCAUGCAAUUCUAGUUUCUUUUAAUUUUAUCUACUGAACACAAUACUCUGUAACAGAGAUAUAAGUCUUCCAUUCAGAAAUGCCAGAGGGUAUAUCUGAAUUUCUCCAUAAAAUGAGAUUCAACUUUGUAGUCUGUGCAGAAUAUGUGGGGAAAAAUGAUGUUUUUGUGUGUAAAUAGAAUGUAGCACAUAGACUAUCCAGAGGCUAGUUAUAAGUACUUAGCACACUAAUGCAGUGGCUUGGGCCUCCAAAUCCACACUAGUCCCUGCUUAAGAGUUCUGGAACGAUUCAUUUUUACUUUGCUGUGCCCCAUGAACAUCUCUAUUGAGAAUCUAAAAAGAAUAAAGAAGUAAGCCAUUGUCAAGUACACAUGACAAAGAGUCUAUACCUAAUAGAAAUUGAUGCAACAUGACUAAAACCGAAUUGAGUCAAGAACCCAUAACUUCACAGACUCAGUGUCAUACAGAACUGAGAACAAGAACCUAGGGAUACUAUAAUACCUUGAAGUGUGUUUCCAUCUCAAGCACAGAGAAAGGGCCGCCUUUUGGCUCAGUGUGUAGUCCUGUGCCUACCAUGGGAGAACCAGUAGGUGAGUAUUUACUGGAAACCUGACUAGAGGAAAGAGUCCCAGGACUCUGAAUAAAACAAGUUGUUCUGCUUCUGAGGAAAACAAAGGUCCAGUGUGAUUGUUCAGACAUCGGAAAGCUUCCAGGUGUGCUUUUAAGCUAAAUGGAAAUUACCAAGAAGAUUGUGAUGUACACGUUGCUGACGAGAUUGGAAAGGGGACGUCUAGCCAUUUGAUAUUAGGAAUGCUAACCUGUAGAUGCACUCAGCCAGACAAAAUAAAUGAAUUCCAAUGACACAGGACAUCCUCCUCCAGGCAGUAGGCAUUCCUUUUGAAAACGUUCAGGAAAUGGUCACAGGAUAAACAUCUCUGAUAAAAACCAGAUCACCUUUGCAGCUUAGGGCUGGUUAAUAAGAAAGCAUGGUGGUCAAUAAUAAAUCUGAUGAUCUUAUUGACCCCAAAUGGGUGAGGUUGGGGACAUAUCAAAGAAGUGAAUGAAGGUGAGUGUGUAUCACUGGCACAUCAAUCUUAGAUUGGAAUAAGCCUAUAGAUAAACGCAAAAAUGCCAAAGUGUAUGUGUAUUCCUCAAUGAUGUCUCAUUGUGUCUUGACUUGGUCCUGGAAAUCAUCCACGCUCUAUCUUUGAAAACAGGGUCAUUGCCACAAUUGACUUUUCCCUCUCUUUCUCUUCAGGCCCUGCUGCAAAAAAGAAGUAUGUCAGUUAUAAUAACCUGGUUAUCUAACCUGUUCCAUCCCAUGGAACCACAGAGGAGGAAGACCUUGAAUUAUUCUGUCACCCAGCCUGGCGUAGGACUCUUUUGGUCCUGCCUGCUUCCUAUCUCUGGAGGAGCUUCCCCACGCGGGAGAGCAAUGGCAGAGGAUCCACACAUCCUGAACAGCUGCUUUAUGAGACACCUUUACUUUAUCUUGGCUUAAGAAGUCAUUGGCAUCAGCACUGCCAUCUUGGCUGCAAUUCUGGACUCCCUACAGCAAAGGGAGAGUUGAGAUUCAAGUCCCACCCGGCUCUUUUGGAUGAACCGCUGAGAGCCUCAGGACUGUUUUUGGGGGGCUGACUUGUCUUUCUACGUACGUACUUCCAGGCUGCAAGGUUUUGAAAUUUUCUGUACAGUUUGUGAGGACAUUUGCACUUUGCCACUCAAUGUCGUACCUCGGUUCACUGUUUGUUUUUGAAUGCCCUGUUUUCAUAGAAUCCUAUCCUCUCAGAUGGUGGAAUCUUUGGGGAAACUUUAAAGUAACUAAUUUUUAUUUAAAAAAAAAAUCUCGGCAGACAUAAGAGAACACAACCCCCCAUGCACAUCUGUAAAUGACUGUAUGGUUAUGAUUAUAGUACCACGAAAAAUCAUGUUAUUUUUUUUUAAGACACACACAAAAAGAUACUUAAAGACCAAAAACUGUGCUGGGAAGAUAUGCCCCACCUAUCUUUGGUACAUGGUAGGUGUUGUGAUGGAAAUGGAAAGCAUUGGUUAAAUGGAAUAGAGGUCUUGAUCUUUGGAAUGCAUGCCGGUAAUGUAUUUUACAGUACAUGUUAAUAAUUUAUGUUUAAUAUUUGUAUUUGUGUUCUCUUUUGUUAUUUUACUUAGGGUAUAUGGAUAUUUUGCAAUAAUUUUAAUGAUUCUUAAGCUAUUUGAAGGAAAGAAUAUGGAUUUCUCAUGUCUUGAGGUUUUGUUCAUGCCCCUAUGACUGACCAAUGUGAUAAGGACUUUAAAAAAGAAGCAUGUAUGUUUUUUACUGUUUGUAAGAAGUACUUUCGUUAAUCUUGCUGCUUAUGUGUCAAUUUAGUGGAAAAGAAAUCCCUUGCUGAAAAAAAAAAUCCCUUUCCAUUCUCUUCCAGUUCUGUGGUAUUGUCCAAGAAUGUAUCAAUAAAAUACUUUGGUUAACUUUUUU
rnacentral:lncRNA from 1 species